CCCGGGCCUUGUACACACCGCCCGUCACGCCAUGGGAGUUGGUUUUACCCGAAGGCGGUUUUGCUGACCCAGCAAUGGGGGGCGGCCGACCACGGUAAGGUCAGCGACUGGGGCG
rnacentral:rRNA from 1 species